GGCCCCAGCGGUAACACCCCGCCCUGCUCUCUCCUCAGCGCCUGCGCAGCUGCGCGAAAUAGUGGUGUUUUGACCCUCUCUUUCCUACCAAGGUGCAAAUCGGGCCGUCAUGCGUCUUCUUGUGCUGUAGUCUAAAGGGGAAACGCCAAUGCUGGAGACGGAAUCAGCCCAGGGAGCUGGUAACUCUACCUGCGGUUGGGCAGAGGCCAGUGAGAGGACUCUGUGAGGUCAUGUGCCCUUGGCUAGUGCCCGACCUGGCCACCUGCUGGCGUGGGGCCUGGGUACAAUUCAGCACUCCCGCUUGCAACUGGAAGCGUCUGUUUGCAGGGUUUGCUGCUAGGCUUGCUGACUGACCUGAAACAAUUGACCUGAAACCUCCACCCAUUGGGUUUGUGCCUGCAUCUGUAACAACCAUGCAACAUAAAGAAGCUAGCCAGAGUGAUUGUAGGGCAUGGGAACCAACAUGACCCCUUCUAUGGCAGCCAACAAACCAGUUGUUACAGGAAAAGAAGGCAACAGCAGCCAGUAAAAGUUGUCAACCCCAUUAAAGACACAAGAGCCUGGUUAGGAAAAAAGUUGCAACUCUUAUUGCUUACCUUAUUUCACUUAAUAAAUUAGCCAUGCAAUAGGCAUAAGGCAACUCUGCAAUUCCCCAGCCACCAUAGGACUACUGCAUUUGUCUGUUCUGCUGCAUAAUAUGAGACCGGUAAUGGAUGGUACAGGGAGCUGCUGAAAAAGUACCCCUUUACAGCUAUGCUAGAGGCUGUUGAAUCAACUCGUUUGAAAUGUGCUGAAGGAGAGCUUUGCGGAUACCAUCAACCGCAAAAAAGACAAAUAAUUGGGUGUUAGAACAAAUUAAACCAGAAUUGUCACUAGAAGCUAAAAUGAUGAAACUGAGGCUAUCAUACUUUGGACAUACAAUGAGAUGACAUGAUUCACUAGAAAAGACAAUAAUGCUGGGAAAAACAGAAGGGAGUAGAAAAAGAGGAAGACCAAACAAGAAGGAAGCUACAGGCCUGAACUUACAAGAUUUGAACAGGGUGGUUUACAACAGAUGCAAUUGGAACUCACUGAUUCAUAGGGUGGCGUAAGUCGUAAUUGACUUGAAGGUGCACGUGCAUGCGCACACACACACGGGGGACUGCUGGAAGGUAAUGAGUGAACUUGGCUCCUGCUGGGAGGAAGGGCAGGAUAUAAGUCAAAUAAUAAAUAAACAAACUUUUUCUUCCAACCAAGCCUUUGCAUUAUUGCAGAGAAUUAAGAGACAGCAUGUGGCAUUGAUUUAAACUAGUCAAUGCAGUAUUUUUCAUAUGUUACUUAUUAAUACAUUAAUCUAAUUCACACUAUGAAGGCAGCUCCUAAGCAAGAGGGUUCUCUGGUUGCACCUUAUACGUACCUGCCCCUUCCUCUUUGCGUUCUGCCAGCAAUUGAAAACAGUCCUUUAAAAACACCCGUUUGAUUCUGUCGCUGCUUAAUGUAGUGAGAGAGCUGUUGAUGGCUUUGAUUCUUGUUGCUGUUUUUGAUGAUGAUGAUGAAAGCUUUUAUCAACACCCCGUAAGAAAUAAUCCAACUGCCUACACCAACUAUAGACAAUCUCUGGCCUGUGGGCCUAAUUUGUUCCCAGCAGGGGUCCCAGUUUGACUUGUCAGGCCAUUUUCUCCAAGACACCCACACCUGACAUCAUAUAUGACAACAAGGUGUGAGGCAGGGAAGAUGCUGCUGCAAAGGAACAAGCAGGAAUCUUAAAAUGCUUCUUCUCCCAUGCAUUUUAACAGCAUUUGAAUAGCAUGUGUUUUUAACUUGCUUAUCGGUUUUUAUGAGUUUUAAUUUGGUAUGGUUUAAGUUUGUAUACUUGUUUUUAAUGUUCUUAAUUGUAAUUGUUAUA